rnacentral:rRNA from 1 species
AACGAACGCUGGCGGCAUGCCUAACACAUGCAAGUCGAACGAGCCCUUCGGGGCUAGUGGCGCACGGGUGCGUAACGCGUGGGAAUCUGCCCUCUGGUUCGGAAUAACAGUUGGCAACGACUGCUAAUACCGGAUAAUGACUUCGGUCCAAAGAUUUAUCGCCAGAGGAUGAGCCCGCGUCGGAUUAGCUUGUUGGUGAGGUAAAAGCUCACCAAGGCGACGAUCCGUAGCUGGUCUGAGAGGAUGAUCAGCCACACUGGGACUGAGACACGGCCCAGACUCCUGCGGGAGGCAGCAGUGGGGAAUAUUGGACAAUGGGCGAAAGCCUGAUCCAGCAAUGCCGCGUGAGUGAUGAAGGCCUUAGGGUUGUAAAGCUCUUUUACCCGGGAUGAUAAUGACAGUACCGGGAGAAUAAGCCCCGGCUAACUCCGUGCCAGCCGCCGCGGUAAGAC